AGUGAACGCUGGCGGUAGGCCUAACACAUGCGAGUCGAACGGCAGCACAGUAAGAGCUUGCUCUUACGGGUGGCGAGUGGCGGACGGGUGAGGAAUACAUCGGAAUCUACUUUUUCGUGGGGGAUAACGUAGGGAAACUUACGCUAAUACCGCAUACGACCUACGGGUGAAAGCAGGGGACCUUCGGACCUUGCGCGAUUGAAUGAGCCGAUGUCGGAUUAGCUAGUUGGCGGGGUAAAGGCCCACCAAGGCGACGAUCCGUAGCUGGUCUGAGAGGAUGAUCAGCCACACUGGAACUGAGACACGGUCCAGACUCCUACGGGAGGCAGCAGUGGGGAAUAUUGGACAAUGGGCGCAAGCCUGAUCCAGCCAUACCGCGUGGGUGAAGAAGGCCUUCGGGUUGUAAAGCCCUUUUGUUGGGAAAGAAAAGCAGCAGGUUAAUACCCCGCUGUUCUGACGGUACCCAAAGAAUAAGCACCGGCCAACUUCGUG
rnacentral:rRNA from 1 species